CAAAAUGGCGUCUAGAAAGGAACAUGCGAGGACUUUUGUAAACUUUAUUGAAAUGGCAUCUUACCAGGGACUAUGAUAUGUUUGUGGUGUUAAAGAUAUUAUGUAACAACGUGUUAUCUAAAGAAAUAUCUCAUUGUUUAUAUCCAAAUCAACAUACAAACCAGUGAAAUCGAGUUGAUGUGUGAAAUUUGACAGUUCGUGAAGAUGAAGCUUAAUAUUUUGAAAUAUAUGACAUACAUGGAAGAAUAAUUUGUAGAUAAAGUAUUUUCCACGAAUUCAACAACAUAUAUCAUGCUUCAUUAUGGAGUGGAAGUUCAAUGAUAUUGUGUAAACAUUGUGUAAAUAUUUGCACACACUUUGGAGUGUAAGCAGAAAACUCAAAACAGUGCGGUCACACAAGUUUAACACGGAUCCUUACAGGAGUUCUAAUGAAGAAGAUUUAUAUUCAUAAAGGUUGCAAGCAAUUACUCUGUGGACAGUUUCAAGGUGUUUGCGGGACUUGGAAAAACACUAUUGGACACGGCGGCGUGUGGUGGGGCAAUCCGGUCGCACUACGGUGAAAUAACCAGUCCAAACUACCCUUCCAACUAACCGGAAAACAAAAAUUGCAUCUGGAACAUCACAGGGCCUCCUGGGUCCAGGCUAAUGCUGCAUUUUGUUGACUUUCAAGUGGCUCAAUCCACGAAUUGUAAUACUGAUUUUGUUCAGAUGUAUUUCGAUGACUACUCCACAGACAGGUUAUGUGGUGUGUUUAAUCGCCGGAAGAGAUGGCUUACAAAGGCAAACCAUUUCGAAAUAUUUUUCAAAUCUGGAAACGGUAGAAAUAC